rnacentral:piRNA from 1 species
UUCUAGACAGUGUGGCCGACAUCAAC